AGCUGGUUAAGAAAGGGAGAUGAUUCAUAGCCCAGUCCAGUGGGACCAGUGAAAGGCUUGAUUACACCUUGGUUCCAGGCUGUCUUGUGGGGCAAGUGCCUUGGCAUAUGUGGGUUCCAGGAAGACUGUAAUAAGUACUCGUAGUUUGGGAUUUAACUUGGGUACCAGCUCUUAUGUGAGAACACACAGGUGUUGGAUCAGUUGUAGACAGGAUCUUUUCUGUUCAUUACCCAAGGGGGAUAAAAGAUAUGGAUUCCACUUUAAUAUGUGAAUUGUAACUCCAAAGAAAUCAGAUGAAGACAGCUAUCUUAUGGCAGCUGGCUAAAUGGCAGCUAUCUAAAUACAAACAAAGGAGACAAUACAAUUCCCAGGGCUAAAAGAAAGUUAACAAAGGGAAAGUUCUAGGGCAUUAAAAUAAGUCAUCCUUAUACAAUAGCCACUCCAUGCAUAUAUUAUGGUACAAACCAAUCGGUAAUAAAAUUUUGACAGGGUUCAUUACGUUAAGUUUAUAAAUCAAGCUUCUGGGCUUAAGCAGCAGAGGCAUUCUUUGUUGUGGAAGGCUGCAAGCUAGAAGGUACUUGAUAAAGUGCUAGAAAGAGUCCAGCUGUUAGCUAUUAUGUUUCUUUCGAACCUACUAUUUAAGACAUGUAUAGUUACAAAGAGAGUAUAUGAGGAGAUUAAAAACCAUGGUUACGUUAACGUACACCUAUCUCAGGGGAACUGCACUCAUUUUCUUUCAUUGUACGCUUCUUGCGGCUUCUUUGCUUCAUCUGGCAGGCUGCCUCUGGAAUCUGUACUGCCUUAAGUCACUUUCAACAGUGUUGGAGGAUAGAAGUCAUUAAGACAGAAUAGAUGCUAGGGGCAAGACAGCUAAUAAGCCACUUGAAUGCCAGUCAAGAAUAUGUGUGGCAGAUGAAACAUAAAUAUUUUGCUGGAGGUAGAAUGAUAUAUAGAUAACUACUGUUUCAGAGGGAUGUUAAUUAUCUUUAAUAAAAUUAAAUCUGAAGUCUUCCACCCAUAUGGAAAUAAUCUGAGCUUAAAAAAAAAAUUUGAACAUGAGGUGGAAUAGACUAUUGUAUUACAAGGUUUCUUAAUUCCCAUUUCAUUUUUCCAACCACUACUGUAAGCAAAGGUAACUAUUUCAAGACUUUUAAGCCAGGUUUGCAAAACUGUGUGUGGCAACCCGGGAAGAUCCUCUUAAGGGCCAGCCCCUCUCAUUGGGCAGAGUUUCCCGAGAUAACAAGUCACACUUCUCCCUCCUUCUCUAACAAAAACCCAAGAGGUACAAAUUCCUAUUUACGCAACAGGAAAAUGACUGAUUAGUCCAACUCUUCACCUCAGCACAUUAGUAUUGCGCUGUAGUCAAGCUACAGUCUUUCCUUCACCCAUGGGAGGUGCUGAGUGCUGGUAGGACAGUCCAGCUUUUGGGGAUUCACUUUCCGUGUUAGAGUGCAGCCUGCUGGGGCCAGCCCUGGAGAAAUGGCUCCAGCUUCCUCACGCUCUCUUCUAAAGAGUCAACAACUAGAGUUCAGGAAUUUAGACUGAACACAUCAGUGACUCUCCACUCCUCUGGCUGCCACCUUCUAGACCUUACUCCUCCAGCUCCUCUCAUAUACGUAAGUCAUCAUUUCCAUAUAAAGCCCCUUAUUCCUGAUUUACCAUUUACAGUGGCCCUGUCUUCCUGAGGAAACCAUUCUGAUACAGAAUACGCGGUCCUAAGACAUGUAAUGAGCACUCAAUAAAUAUUACAUCAUCAUCAUCACCAUCACAAAAGCGUGUUCUUUCAUCAGAAGAGAAUGGAGUUGCCCUCUGGCUCGUGUGCCCUCCAGGGUUAUGGAGUGAGCCUUGGAUUACAAGGAAGAAGCAGCAAACCCUAACAGCUGUCUAUAUAGUGGAAAGUUUAACUUUCUAAUCAAUUUACUGAUCAUACACUUUAUAGCAUGUAUGCUUGUGAUUGUGUUAUAUGGUAAUUAGGCAUAAAUGAUAGAAAUCAGUUGAUAAAUGACUGUAAUUGGAAUUAAUUUUCGGGAGUCAAUAUUUUUUUCUCUCUUGGUUCACUAGUAUUGACAAUUUUUUUUUGGAAAAUGUGAGUUUGAUUUACCUAUAUGUAAAAAGGCAAGUCCUAGGCCAGUUCUUUAGGUCCAGUUUCUUUUUCUUUUGCUUCUCUCUCAGAUGCUCCUCUCCAGCUCCUCUGUGCUCCUGUCCAGCUCCGAUUCCCACCCUUUGCCUGUGAAACUCAUAAAGAGAGUGUCCUGCUGGCUCCUGCAUCUGGCUCCAGUCUGCCUGGCCCCGACACAGGCAGAUCUCCGGAAGCACAAGGUUGUGGGUGGCCUGAUAGGGGAACAAAGCAGACCAUGGCAUGGUAAGGUAGAGGAGACAGGCUAGGGAAGGGAAAGGGCACCAUGAGAUCCAGGUCUAGUGUUUUGUGUCUGGGAGUUCUGAACCAGAACCAAGGGCACCAGGGCUGACAGAUACCAUCCUUCCCUCUUGAAGUUUUUGGGACUCACACUCUAAUAACUAUGUUGAGGCUGGGUCCCCAUGGGAACAGAGGUAUUUUUGCCUAUGGCUUCAAAUGCACGUGUUUUUUUUUUUGUUUUUUUUUUUUUGUUGUUGUUGUUAAUUUUUGUUACUUAGUAGGAACAUGCUCACAGUGAUGCACUUGUCCGUGUCCCACUUCAGGGAAGGACAGUUGCUGCUGUUACUGUCAGUGCCCUGUGAUGUUACCUCCACUGCAGGGAACCACCUUCCCCAAGGCUGGUCCCUGCCUAAGGACCAGCACAGGAUAAGGCUGACAGGUCCUUUCAGUUCCGGACUCUGCAUGGGGUUAGCUGAAGUUGUUGUCAGGCCUGCCUUGAAGCCUGACUUUUUCUACCCAGUCCUGCUCCAUUGCCCUCCCUCCCACAGGUUUUGGUCCUACGGGACCUCACUAAUAAACAUUCAGCACAUUCAACUUCAGCUCGGGGUCUGUUUCCCACAGAGCCCAGCCUGCAACAGACCUUGUUCUCCAUAUCACCAAUUUUUGUCAACAUCUCUAUUUUGCAGUUAUCUCCCUUACCAUUCUCUUCGACCUUGCCAAUUUAUACCGGUUUUAUUCAUCUACUGUCAUUUUAUAGCAUUUUUAGAGGGAAGGAGAUACAUGCAUAUGUAUAGCCCACAAUUGUAUUGGUCAGAGUUAAAUUGCAGAGAACAUAAUUUAUUUAGCUGUUUAAAGCAGAGAGGGUAUUUUUAGGUAUUCAGUGUUGAGACAGAUUUAUUGUAAUAAUAGCCCCACAUUUUCUUUCCUCCUUUACAAUUUGUCUUUGUAACUCCUCCCCUCAAGGGAUUGAGUCUGUUUCCCUACCUCCUAAAUCUGGGCUCGCCUUUUGGCUUGCUUUGGCCAAUGGAAUGUGGCAAAAGUGAUGGUGUGCUGUUUCUAAACCUAAACUUCAAAAGAACUUGCACACUUUGCUCUCCUUCUUGGUAGCUUCCUCUCCCAUGAGAAUAAUCCAGGCUGGCCUGUUGGAAGGUGAGGGAGCAGUGAGAGUUGUCCUAGCUGAGGUCAUCUGAGACCAGCUGACCACAAGUACUUGAGCAAGCUCAGUGAGGUCAGCCAAACUCAACUUAGACUAUUAGCACUGGCCGGCUGACCCACACACUCAUGAGCAGUAAUAAAUGGUCACUGUUUUAAGCUGCUGCCAUUUGGAGGGUGUUCGUUAUACAGCAUUAUUGUAGCAAUAGAUGACUGACACAGAGUGGCUUACAAAAUCCUUGGGAAGGCAGAAGAAGUAAAUUCUAGGGCCACAUCAUAGCAUAGACUCACUAAUGCCAGGAGUUGUUGAACCAGGAGAUUCUUGGCUAAGUUAAUAAAGCACUGCUGUAAACCCUGGCUCCGGAACCCUGUCACUGCUGUGGUGAUCAGGGAGGGACUGCUGGAGCUGGUCUCUCAGAACCACGCUCCUCUUGCUCCUGCAUGACUUAAUGCCAUCAAAACAGGGGCCCAUGCCUUGCCUUUCUCUCAUUUAAUUUAGUUUAUGCAAGUGCUUCUCAUCAGCAAAGUGUAAGUUAUACCUGAUCUUCAGCUGUGAAGGGGCCUAGUGUCAAAGGGACUUUCAGCUUUCUAAUUUCUGUAACACAGGAGAAGGAGGCUGGAGUAGAUUUGCAGUGUCAGCCUUCAUAUCUGCCACAGCUAUGAUGGUCUUAAACAAGCAGGAUUCCUAAACCCUGUUCUCCAUGUCCUUGUAAGGCUAGGAGUCCCUGGAGAUCAAAAGGACUUGUCAGGAGAACCUGCAGUCCCUCCAAAGGUGCCCCAUUGAUUCAAAAGCCAGAUACUUCUUUGUCAACAAAGGCAUCCCAUGGUGAAAAGUCUGGAGGAUAAAUUGCCCUUGGCUCAUUGUUGUGCAAUCAGAAAUUCAUUCAUGUGAGGAAAAAGCAGAUAAAACUGAUGGAAAAACGCCAAAGAAAGCGGCUGUCAGACUGAUUGCUUUUUGGCAGAGGCUGAGAUCAAGAUUUACCAAGGAAAGCCUACGUAAAUAUGAUCCAAGAGGAAGUGACAGAGCUCAAGAGCAUUACUAAGCCUGGAAACUGGAAUUUCACUUACCUUGCAAGAUAUCAGGUGCCUCCUUCAAAUGAAUUUUUAAGUAUCUCCGUGAUGAUGAGGAAGAACUGAGACAUCAAUUAGGAUUCAGGAAGACAAGUCUUUGCAGAAAAUGCGUAGAGCAUCAAGGAUUGCUAUUAAUAUUUGGAAGUUUAAAAGAGAGUAUAUUUUCCUCAGUCAACAAAUGACAAAAGUAAAGGCAUGGUUUUCAUUGUUUCUGGAAGAAGCCUGGCAGCAUUCCAUUCAGACAUCUGCCCUUUGUUCUAUUUUCCUCUUUACUUAUUUCAGUCCUUCUAAUCUUCAAGGCUGAGUCUGAAUAUUUCUUCCUGAGGCUUCUUCUAAUCAUCUCUGCCCUUAAGGACAACUCCCUCCUUCAACUCCUAUAGCCCUUACCUGUCAUUUGAAAAUUUAGUACCUAUGUAUUAUACUAUGAUUGAAUAAAUAAAUGUUCAUCUUCUGCAAGUAUAUUA